UACACUCUGGAAGGACACGUGCCCGGCGCGCGGUCAGGACGACCUGUGGGCGUCCUCCGCACGGACCCCCACCCGGUGCGGCCCCCAUCCCUCCGGCCGGCUCUCCGUAAUCCCCGGGCGGUGCACCCCACACCAUUGCCACGUGAGCUCACGGCUGCCCGAGGGUGCACAUCUCUAGGGAAGACUGUUCUGUCUCGGUUCUUUAGCAUCCAUUACCCACUCUGUUCCCCUGGCCCUGUUGCUGUGUGGCCUGGAGCAGCCCCAAGCCCUCUCUGGGCCGCGGUUUCCGUCUGUGGAACUGGAGGGAAUGCUGAUUCUUCCACGCUCCAAAGGGCUCCAAGAUUCUUGUCAGGCACCGACCGAGAGCCUCAAGAGGAGAUCCUCUCUCUCCAAACUCCCGCGAGCAUCACAUCCAGAGAGUGGCCCUGGUGUCCAAGGCUUUGGCAACUCCCCUUCUGACGCAUCCCCCCUCUUCCAGCCAAAGUGAGUCCUUUCCUAUCCCACAUUCCCUGCUCAGCGGUGUUGCGAGCUGAGCCGCAAGCCCAGACGGCGCCCACCUUCCGCAUCAGAACCCACCAGGACCUGGCCACAUGUUGGGAUUACGCACGAUGCCGGGUGGGGGAGAAAAAGGAAAUCUACCAGCUAAAAAGUGCAGGAGACUUUCCAGCUGGGAGCCGGAGCCUUUGGACAUCAAAUUGACAUUAAUAUGGUGCUCAAUGAGGAGAAGAGGCUGCAGGACCCAAAUUGGCAAGGGCUUAAUUAGAGCCACAAUAAAACCCACCCCGAAGGCUUUUUGCUUUGGAGCCUUUCUCCCAGCACCCUCUGCGGGCGAGGAUUAGGCAUCUUGAGCAGUUUUUCCUGCCCCGCAGCCCCUGCCCCGCCGCCCCUGCCCCGCCGACAGCUUGACACUGGCAGGAGGGGGAACAUCUGGGCCCGAGGUUCACGGGCGCAGCUGGACUCCGGCCAAAGGGCUGAAGCACCUGUUGGGAGGCACAUGGGGGCUGGGAUCUGGGGGCCAGAAAGACCCCCGGCUGGGUUCUCUGGGACAUGCUCAGGUGUGCGGGAAGAGCAUUCUCACAACGGCCCGUGUCGCGUGCCAGGCCAGAUGGAGGACCCGUCUGCUCCUUUGGAAUUGGGGAGCUGCGCGCAAGCCACGUC